GAGCACAGCGCUUCGCACACUGUCCGCCAUGGCCCAAGCUCCUCUCCUCCUCCUCGUGGGCCUCAUGCUCCUCGCGCUCUGCACAGGUUUCGUGAGUUCUGCACCCACUCAGCCGCCCUCAGCGUCCGUGGCCCUGGGACAAACAGCCACGCUCACCUGCUCCGGUGUUAGCACUAGCUAUGCAAACUGGUACCAGCAGAAACCUGGCCAGGCCCCUGUGCUGGUUAUAUACGCAAAUAGCAACCGACCCUCCGGGAUCCCCGACCGGUUCUCCGGCUCUAAGUCCGGGAGCACGGCCAGGCUGACCAUCGCCAGGGCCCAGGCCGAGGACGAGGCCGAUUAUUACUGUCAGGAUGAUAGUGGCAGUGCUAAUCCUCACACUCUGCCCCUCCUGCCAGAUGGUGCCCUGUUCCAGUAUGGGGAGGGGAACCUGCGCUCCAGCUCCCUCAGAUUCCCCUGCAUCCUGACCCUUCCGCACUCCCCCAUCGCCCCGACGAACUGA